rfam:Paramecium tetraurelia chromosome undetermined scaffold_136, whole genome shotgun sequence.
GUUGUCGGCCAUACUAAGCCUAAAGCACCGGAUUCCAUUCGAACUCCGAAGUUAAGCGGCUUAAGGCGAGGUUAGUACUAAGGUGGGGGACCGCUUGGGAAGUCCUCGUGUUGACAACC